AGAACGAACGCUGGCGGCAGGCCUAACACAUGCAAGUCGAACGCUCCAGCAAUGGAGAGUGGCAGACGGGUGAGUAACGCGUGGGAACCUUCCCUAUGGUUCGGAAUAGCUCAGGGAAACUUGGGGUAAUACCGGAUAAGCCCUUCGGGGGAAAGAUUUAUCGCCAUUGGAUGGGCCCGCGUCGGAUUAGCUAGUUGGUGGGUAACGGCCCACCAAGGCAACGAUCCGUAGCUGGUCUGAGAGGAUGAUCAGCCACACUGGGACUGAGACACGGCCCAGACCUCCUACGGG
rnacentral:rRNA from 1 species